CAAUGAAAAAAAAUAACCGUCUCGCCUGCCCAGUGACAUAGUUCAACGGCCGCGGUAUCCUAACCGUGCGAAGGUAGCAUAAUCACUUGUUCUCUAAAUAGGGACUAGUAUGAAAGGCAUCACGAGGGUUUUACUGUCUCCUUUCUCCAAUCAGUGAAACUGAUCUCCCUGUGAAAAAGCAGGAAUAAAUAUAUAAGACGAGAAGACCCCAUGGAGCUUUAAACCCAACAACAACCCAAACCCUCCAGUCCCUAAUAGUUUUAUAAAGUAUUGCUUGUUGGUUUUAGGUUGGGGUGACCGCGGAGAAUAAAUCAACCUCCAUGACGAAUGGGACUAACCCCUUACCCAAGAGCAACUCCUCUAAGGAUUAACAAAUUAACGUUAAGUGAUCCAACUUAUUGAUCAACGAACCAAGUUACCCUGGGGAUAACAGCGCAAUCCAUUUUUAGAGCCCCUAUCAAAAGAUGGGUUUACGACCUCGAUGUUGGAUCAGGGUACCCCGGUGGUGCAGCCGCUACCAAUGGUUUGUUUGUUCAACAAUUAAAACCCUACGUGAUCUGAGUUCAGAACCGGAGGAUCGCCUGGUUAUCAAAAACAUAUACGUGAUCUGAUUUCAAAAACGGAGCG
rnacentral:rRNA from 1 species